UUUGGAUUAAUACUCUAUGGUAUCUAAAAAAGGCAUCUUUUCUAGAUUAAAGGUUACGGUAUGAGAUGAGUAUGCGUUCUAUUAGUUUGUAGGUGUGGUAACGGCAUACCUAGACUACGAUAGAUAGGGGCCCUGAGAGGGGGACCCCCCACACUGGUACUGAGACACGGACCAGACUCCUACGGGAGGCAGCAGUAAGGAAUAUUGGUCAAUGGACGCAAGUCUGAACCAGCCAUGCCGCGUGCAGGAUGACGGCCCUAUGGGUUGUAAACUGCUUUUAUACAGGAAGAAAAACUUUCUCGUGAGAGAGCUUGACGGUACUGUAAGAAUAAGGAUCG
rnacentral:rRNA from 1 species